rnacentral:misc_RNA from 1 species
GGGGGCGCAUUCAGUUGGUUCAAUUCAAAACCGAAUCGAAAUAACCAAAUAAGUAAAGUGCCAAAUAAAUGGAACCAAACUGAAGUGGGAGACUUAAUCAAACCAAACCAAAAAUUUUUGGUUCGGUCAUUUGGUUUGGCACCUGCCUAACAAAGAGUAGAUUUCAGGAAAAUAAGCAGGCUAGCAUCAUUGGGCAAAAUUGGACACUUAAAACAAAAGCAACACGCAGCUCCAUAGGUAAAAGAUCCCAAUAGCUGUUAUGAAAACAACAACCAGCAAUACUAAUUAUGUAUUCAAAUCAAAUACAUAUUUCAUAAUAAUAGAUCAAUAGUUCAAAACAUAACAUUCUUCCUUUCUCUUAAAAGUAUGAUUCUAAUUAUGUAAUUCCCUUAUACCCGUUAAAACUGCAGAUGCAUAUUUUUGUAAUGGAGACAAAAUUAUGAUUAUAACAAAAAAAAUUACUUGAAGGCAAGGAGACACAUGAGAUCGACUCAUGGAGAGAGGACACAAAGGAAUUGAUAUUGAGGGAUAUUGAGACUGUAAGAUCAAGGUAUGGACGUGCAGUGAGAUAUUGAGAUGAGAGAUGAGAUGAGUUGAUGACAGUGAGUGAGCCAGAGAGAAGUAACCAAAAGCAAACACUGCAUUUGUUGCCAAACUCAGAUCAAGAUGCAGAUACAUAGAGAGAAGCAACGAGAGUGAGUAAGGAGUGGAAGAAGUUGAAAACAAAAGAAGUCGAAGACGAGAGUUAAAGAACAAAAGAGACAUGGAUUUGCAAGGAAAAAUCAAAUGGGAAUCUGGACUGAAAGUGAAUUAGGGAUUACAGUACAAGGACCCUUUCCAAUAACAACAAAACAGCACGCACUAAACUUAAAACGACACGCCUGUGUUAUGGGUUAAAUAAAUUGAUCGGUUCGAUACUUCAAUUAGUUCGUUAUUUCAAUUAGUUCGUUAUUUUGGCUGAACUAACUGAACCGAACUGAAAACCAUUUUUUUCAAAUUCAAACUGAAACCGAACUGAUUAGACCAAAUAACCAAACUGAGAAACUGAACCGGUUCAGUUCACAUACUCAAUUUAAUCAAAUAGUACUCUGCCCUAAAGGAAAAGGGGAAGCAUAAUGAAAUGAAGACACAAGUGACUGGGGAAGCACAUCACUUAGGGCCUUAGAUUGUUAGGCCUAACUCCAGUUUUUGGUACAAGGAAGGUUCAGGAAACAAGAGGGAAAAUUAAGGAAAAUAGGAGAAGAAGAAUGAAUCUUCAAGAAUUGUGAGGGAGAUGUCAGUGAAAGAGUAAUC